AAAAAUUCUUUACAUUCUUUAAAAAAAUAUUUAACAAGUAAAAUUGUACACAGUAGUUUAUGCUUCUUAAUAUUUCUUUUGAUCAGCCAUUUAAUAAACCUAAAUUUUUACUGCAUUUAUGUCCCGAGUUUUAUAUCAAUAUUUUGUAAUGAAAGAAGAUAUUCGUCCAGAAACACUUAUCAAUUCCAUUCUUUUGGAAACUGAGGAAGGCAAGCAUAUGUUAAUAAAAAAUACCUUUCUUGGGGAAAAAUGUAAUAUAUAUAUAUAUAUUUGCUUCGUUCAAGUCUUGCAUUCGACCUUGUGCUUUGGUGGGUUGGGUUAAGAUGACGGGGGUGCUCAGAACAAUCGCAUUCUCCCAAGGGGAUGCUAGGCUUGAAAAGGUUGAGAACCACUGCUAUAGAUGGUUUAACAGCAUUAAGAAAAAGUUAGGCAGUAGGUAACUAGGAUUAUGAGUGCC
rnacentral:lncRNA from 1 species